GAUUAAUACCUCAUAGUAUUAUAUUAAGGCAUCUUUUUAUAAUUAAAACUCCGGUGGUUAAAGAUGAGUAUGCGUCCUAUUAGCUUGUUGGUAAGGUAAAAGCUUACCAAGGCUACGAUAGGUAGGGGGCCUGAAAGGGUGAUCCCCCACACUGGUACUGAGACACGGACCAGACUCCUACGGGAGGCAGCAGUGAGGAAUAUUGCACAAUGGAGGAAACUCUGAUGCAGCCAUGCCGCGUGCAGGAUGAGUGCCCUAUGGGUUGUAAACUGCUUUUAUACAAGAAGAAACCUCGGUACGUGUACCGACUUGACGGUAUUGUAUGAAUAAGCACCGGCUAACUCCGUGCCAGCAGCCGCGGUAAUACGGAGGGUGCAAGCGUUAUCCGGAUUUAUUAGGUUUAAAGGGUCCGCAGGCGGAAUAUUAAGUCAGUGGUGAAAGCCUACAGCUCAACUGUAGAACUGCCAUUG
rnacentral:rRNA from 1 species